UACGUAGGGACCAAGCGUUGUUCGGAUUUACUGGGCGUAAAGGGCGCGUAGGCGGCAAUUCAAGUCAGUUGUGAAAUCUCCGAGCUUAACUCGGAACGGUCAACUGAUACUGCUUUGCUAGAGUACAGAAGGGGCAACCGGAAUUCUUGGUGUAGCGGUGAAAUGCGUAGAUAUCAAGAGGAACACCUGAGGUGAAGACGGGUUGCUGGGCUGAUACUGACGCUGAUGCGCGAAAGCCAGGGGAGCGAACGGG
rnacentral:rRNA from 1 species